CAUACUAAUCAAUCUACAAGAACUCUACCAGCACCCACGUACACCUAAUGGAAAAUGAACCAAAACAAAUGUGCGAAUUCUGCAACACAUCUAUAAUAUUCAUAAAACACCUCCUCCUCGAAUGUAUAUGUAUAUGGAUUUAUUGUAUUUACAUGUAUCAACAACGGCACAAUUAUAACAUUCUAUGUAGGACGAAAAACCAUUGUAAAAUAUAGAGCUGCCAAAGUAUAGUUU